rnacentral:rRNA from 1 species
UACGGGGGGGAGCAAGCGUUGUUCGGAUUUACUGGGCGUAAAGGGCGCGUAGGCGGUCAGCACAAGUCAGUUGUGAAAUCUCCGGGCUUAACUCGGAAAGGUCAACUGAUACUGUGCGACUAGAGUGCAGAAGGGGGCAACUGGAAUUCUCGGUGUAGCGGUGAAAUGCGUAGAUAUCGAGAGGAACACCUGCGGCGAAGGCGGGUUGCUGGGCUGACACUGACGCUGAUGCGCGAAAGCCAGGGGAGCGAAGCGGG